GGGGUUGUAGCUCAGUGCGAGAGCAUCUCCUUUGUAUGGAGAAGAUCCCAGGUUCAAUCCCUGGCAGCUCCA